CUCGGGACUCUGCAGGGAGCAGCAAGGUCACCUCUUGUUCUCUCCAGACUGGGCAACUCAGCACCCUCAGCCUCUCCUCACAGGACAUGCCUUCAGCCCUGUUACCAGCUUUGAUGCUCUCCUCUGGGGGCUUUCAAGAACCUUAAUGUCCUUUUUAUAUUGUGGAGCCCAGAACUGCAGGCAGUAUUUGAGUGAGGGAAAUUGAGUUGGAAGUCCUCAUGGAUACAGAUGGCAGCAUCAGAACUGUGAGCUGAUUGGGAAAGUGUGAGAAGAUGCAUCAGAUCUUGCUGUGCUUUCAAACAUGGUGCCUUCAGCAAAAGCAGACUACCCCUGAAUCCUGCUCAGACUUUGGUGAGAGACGGAGCUAAGCUGGGCUGUCAAGACCAAGGUGCUUCCUGUUAUGCAGAGAAGCAUGUUUCCUGGGAACCUUCAAUGAGAAGAAGCGGAAGUAUUUUCAGAGCUGGAGCGUCUGUAUUAACAUUUUCAAUCAUUUUUAAAUUAACUUUAAUUGGCUAACAUUUAAUUUUGGAAGCUGGCCUUGAGGCUCUUCUACCCUUACAUUUGUACAAAGAAGGAAGGAAAACACGUUGAGAAAUAUCCACACAUGCAAGAGUCAUGAUUUCAAGAAGCAAAUGGAGAAAUAAAAUAGAAAAAGACUGUCUAGUAAAUACAGAGCUAAU
ensembl:lncRNA